CCUACGGGUGGCAGCAGUGGGGAAUAUUGCACAAUGGGGGAAACUCUGAUGCAGCGACGCCGCGUGAGCGAUGAAGUAUUUCGGUAUGUAAAGCUCUAUCAGCAGGGAAGAAAAUGACGGUACCUGACUAAGAAGUCCCGGCUAACUACGUGCCAGCAGCCGCGGUAAUACGUAGGGGGCAAGCGUUAGCCGGAUUUACUGAGUGCAAAGGGAGCGUAGACGGUCUUGGGAGCCAGGUGUGAAAGGCCGGGGCUUAACCCCGGGACUGCAUUUGGAACUGUAUGGCUAGAGUGUCGGAGAGGCAGGCGGAAUUCCUAGUGUAGCGGUGAAAUGCGUAGAUAUUAGGAGGAACACCAGUGGCGAAAGCGGCCUGCUGGACGGUGACUGACGUUGAGGCUCGAAAGCGUGGGGAGCAAACAGGAUUAGAUACCCCAGUAGUC
rnacentral:rRNA from 1 species